rnacentral:lncRNA from 1 species
UCGAGUUUUCUGCUGGAGCAGAGCUCGAAUCGGGCGAUCGAAGCCGGAUCGGAAUCGAGAACCGUUCUUCCGACUACGGAGACGGAGAUCGCCAUCGAUCUUGGCGGCGUUCGGUCGGUCGAGACCGAUAGAUCGGAGCGGAGGAUUCGAGGUCCGGAUCGAUCCCGGAGGUUUUGUCGAGCAUCUUGCCGGAGCAGAGCUCGAAUCGGGCGAUCGAGGUCCGAUCAGAGUCGUGAACAGUUAGUUCAUCCGACUACGAAGAUGAAUCUCUGAAACCAGAUCGAUCGAUGUGAAAGAGGGGAGAUUCCUGUUGUCUCCUUCUUCUUCCCUCGGUCGUUUCUCUGAAUCUCCUUCUUCUGUCCGCAGGAAAGGCGGAGCUCCAGAGGAGCAUCUCCAAUGUCAGGGAGACCUUGAGCGAUCAUCUCGGCGAUGUCGUGGAGGUCUGCGCAGAGGUCGGUUCCUCAUUACUCGAUGUAGGCUGGGCGGGAUCGCCCUCGUCCUUGGGAUCCCUCUUUUAGGGUUUUUCUUCACCAUCUUCCUCCUCUCCGCCAUUCUUGGAUCUCCAAGGACGGCGCGGGCGCCUUCUUCCACAACCUGCUGCAGAUGUGCCAUUCGAGAUUCUAACCCCAAUACAGGAGACAGAAAAAAAGUUUCAGUCCGAGCGAUCGCAGCAACCACUGCGAGAACCGAGCACGGAAUCAGAGAUGACAGGUGAGCCUAGUUCCUCAUGAUCAUCAGCAAUCCCGGCCAGCGAUCUCUUCUGUUCGUUCUCUCGUCGCAGUUCCUCGCAGAAUCCAUUCAGUUCCUUCAUCCUCUCCCAAGAAUUUCCUCGAAAAAGGGCAUCACAGAGCUGGCCCUGGUCGAUCAACACAGAGUUAAUUGCACAGAGAUGAGCC